UACGAAGGGUGCAAACGUUGCUCGGAAUUAUUGGGCGUAAAGCGCACGUAGGCGGCUUUGCAAGUCGGAUGUGAAAUCCCUCGGCUUAACCAAGGAAGUGCAUCCGAAACUGCAGAGCUUGAGUACUUAAGAGGAUCGCGGGAAUUCCCGGUGUAGAGGUGAAAUUCGUAGAUAUCGGGAGGAACACCAGUGGCGAAGGCAGCUCUCUGGGACGGUACUGACGCUGAGACGCGAAAGCGUGGGGAGCGAACAGG
rnacentral:rRNA from 1 species